UACGUAGGUGGCAAGCGUUAUCCGGAUUUAUUGGGCGUAAAGGGAACGCAGGCGGUCUUUUAAGUCUGAUGUGAAAGCCUUCGGCUUAACCGGAGUAGUGCAUUGGAAACUGGGAGACUUGAGUGCAGAAGAGGAGAGUGGAACUCCAUGUGUAGCGGUGAAAUGCAUAGAUAUAUGGAAGAACACCAGUGGCGAAAGCGGCUCUCUGGCCUGUAACUGACACUGAGGCUCGAAAGCGUGGGGAGCAAACAGG
rnacentral:rRNA from 1 species